UUGUCAGUAAGGUUAAUCCUUACCUGUUCCUCCUUUUGGGGAACAGAGAUAAAAUGAUGACUGGAGCUCUCAUGAUACGUGAUUAGCAUCUCUGUGUGAGCAGGACUUGCAACAUCCUGUUUGUUCCUUUCUGAU
rnacentral:snoRNA from 1 species